ACAAAAACAGUUUCUCCUACCAGAAGUAGUGGAUAAGCCAAUCCGUAGAGGUGAAAAUGCAGGUCCACUAGUGCCAAUAGAACCAAAGAACAAGGUUAGAAAAUGUGAGUUGGCUAUGGAGACCAAGGAAAAUAUAGUGGCCGAUGGCACAAUUACACUUGAAUGUGGUCCCAACUAUCUAGUAGUUGUUGAUGCUUCUUAUGAUUCAAGUGCACCCCUUCCCAUUCCUAUUCCUGGACAAACUACUACUGUUGGGGAUGCAAUUGGUUACCAAGUUUUGUGGCCAGCUCAUUUAGUAAUCAUUCAUACUCUUAUCUCGACAUCCAAGAAAGGAAAGAAACAAAAAUAAAAUGAAGUUGAAGUCAAAUCUAAGGGUGAGAAAGCACAAGAUAUCAAGAAUUUUUAGGCAUUGGUUGGCCUCAUGCUGAGUACCUCAAGAGUACAUCCUAUUGACUUCCCAGAUGAUGUUUUUGGUGAGAGUUUCAAGACCUUCCUAAUGAAAGAAGAUAUGGACAUGAUUAUAUCAUCAAAAGAAGUGUCAUCCAAUUGUAUCUUAUACUACAUCUAGUGAGGGAUUUUAUAAUUUUUUUAAUUACUCUUCACA